rnacentral:snRNA from 1 species
GUGCCCAUUAAUGUCCAUGUCC